CUUGAGUACCCCUGAACUCCGUUCACGAUUUAAGAGCUGUUAAGCCAGCAGCUCUUUUAUACGACUGUGAUGUAGACGAAGUAGGGGUUGGAAUAUUAGGCCUAACAUGCUCUAAUGCCUGUUUAUAAGCAUUAUAAAUAGUUUGAGCAUUUACUUUAAUUGAUGCUUUCGCAUCAGCUAGUGUAGCAAUUUCUACUUCUGANN
rnacentral:lncRNA from 1 species